GACUCUCGGCAACGGAUAUCUCGGCUCUCGCAUCGAUGAAGAACGCAGCAAAAUGCGAUACUUGGUGUGAAUUGCAGAAUCCCGUGAAUCAUCGAGUUUUUGAACGCAAGUUGCGCCCGAAGCCUUUCGGCCGAGGGCACGCCUGCCUGGGUGUCA
rfam:Ricinus communis cultivar Hale ctg_1100012281306, whole genome shotgun sequence.